rnacentral:lncRNA from 1 species
AACAAAUUCGUUUGCAUAGAGAAUGAAGGAGAUGAAUGUUUAUUCCCUGAAAUAGGGGAAAAAAAGGGACAAGCAAUACACAAGCUAUACAUGCAUGCAUGAAUCUCACGUCCAAGUUAGUGAUAUUAACGAUACUAAUGAACGAAGUAGGUGAUGAGGAGAGCAACAAGCAUGAGAACAUAAGCAAUCCCUUGAUCGAUCGCAUUGGCAUCGAUCCGAUGUACUGGUACUGCCGUUGCCUCUGAAUGGCCAUGCGCGAGCUGUGUCGAUCCUGAUAUGAACGCAACGACGAUGAUGAACAGCGUGUACGCUCUCAUCGGACUCAUAUUCCUCUCUCAAAAAUUACAAAGGCUUAUAAUGUGCGUAGCUAGUUCAGUGUGUGUAGUAGUAGUAGUAGUAGUUGUUGUUGUUAUGAUGUAGAGGGGUUGGAGGAACGUAGGGGUGUGUUUAUAGUAAGUUUUUCUUUUUUCUUUUUUCUUUUUUUUUUAAAGGAAGGUGCUUUGGGAAUGGAGUGAGGGAACCGGCCGUUGACCCGAAGAACGUGGACGGCGGGAAAAAUUAGGGUUUCAAAUAACGGUCGAAUUAGGGGUCAAAAGGGUAAAGGAAACAAAAAAAAGAAGGUUCCUUGCCGUUGGAUCUCAGUGUUUAAUAUGUGGGGUAAAUAUUAUUAAAUGCAAAAAUAUUUAAAUAUCGUUCUCUAUCGAGUUAAAUUUUUAGAGAAUAAUGGUUGUUUCAUAUUAUUUAACAAAUAUGAGCCAUAGAUGAGUCUGCAAUCCUCUCUGCUAUUUAUCAUUCGAGCCGUUGGACGCCAUGAUCACUUGCUAAUUAAACCAUGUUUUUAGGAGUAAUUAUAAGAACCCUGCACCUUUUCUCGUGGGUCUAAUAUUUUCUACAUAAAAAAAUUUAGACAGUGUCAAUCCUAUGUUUUAGUUUUGUCUCAAAUAGAUCCGGCAGUUAGAGUUUCUUGUUUAUUUUAUUGGCGGUAUAUUGAGAUAGUAUAUAUACCUUUCAAUCUAUUUAAGGUCCUUCAAAGAUGUCAUUAAUUACCAAAUCCAAGAAGCUAAUUAACCGCAAAAAAAAGCAUCUAUGUGAAGGGUUCUGUUCGUCACGUGCGAGAAUUCACGUGUUUUAAUACUUCAUAAAAAAUUAAGAGAAUCUCCAAAUUAUUGAGUCUAUUUGAUACAAGACUAAAAUUAUAUAUAUACAUAGAGUGAGGCUACUAUGCUAUCGGAAGUACGGAGCCUUCCGUGCUUCCAGCUCGUUUUCGAUAUUGCGACUUUCGAAUCGUCGAUCGGCUCCGUUAAACUUGAUCUAGAGUAUUUGAAGUACAUAGAAAAUAAAUUUUAUGAUUUUACGAUAUCAUUUGCCUAGUGAACGAAGGGGCUCAAAAUCAACGGCUGAAAAUAAAAAUCUUACAAAUAUGUUAUAUAUUAACAUUUAAAAUUUAAAUCAAAGUAUUGAUCUUAUUUUAUAAUAGUAUAAAGAAUUUUCUAUCAAAAUUUCAACGUGAUUUGGAUAUUUGUACACCGUUAAACUUGCAAACGGCUCACUACGGCCAUUGAAAUUUGUUGAUUUUGAGCCGAUUCGAUCACUAGGCAAAUGAUAUCGAAAAAUAAUAAAAUUUAUUUUCUAGGUACUCUAAAUACUCUAGAUCAAUUUAACGGAGCUGAUCGACGAUUCGAAAGUCGCAUACAUCGAAAACGAGCUGGAAGCACGGAAGGCUCGUACUUUCGAGAGCAUAGUAGCCUCACUUAUAUAUAUAUAUAUAUAAUAUAUAUAUAUAUAUAUAUAAUAAGAUUAUAUUAUUUAGGGGGUUAUUUGAGAGAAGUGGUAAAGUGCCGGGAGUGUUUUAUAAUUAAUUUUUUUUUUAUGAUAGAGAAAAUAUUCUGUCCAACUCUAUUUUAUUGUGAUACAUUAUUUAAAAACAGCACACAUGCCUCUUUUAUAUCUUAGAAAAAUGCUACUUAUUAACCUAUAAAUAGAUCUAAAUCUUACACCUUUCGCAUCCAUCCUAAGAUCGAUUCACAAAACUCAUUUUAGUUUUAGUAUAUAAAAAAAAUAGUUAAUAAGAUUGGUGGAGGAUGGCCAACCAAUGCUACACAAUCACGUAGACAACAUUUUCUACGUAACUCGGCUCAGCUCAACCUAAUCCUUUACCAGUAAGCAUGAUGCUCGCACGUCUCUUUUGGCUUCGCUUUCGAGUUUCGACACAUAAUGGCCUACUCAAAUGAAACGCCCCUUAGCAGUCAUAUAUAUAUCUCAUAGAGGAUGUUAGAGAAAUGCGGGUGGUGUUGGAUGUGGCCCACGUGAUUUAUUCAAAACGAUCUAUAAAGAUACAAUCGGUUUAUUCAAGUCGAUCUAUAAAGAUACGGUAGAUCGAACGGUUAGGGUGUAUUUCGAUACGUCCUUGAUGGACGGACGUGAUUUAACAUCCUUACAUUAAGUUGUAUAUAAAUAUAAUAUAUGGGAGUCACGGUCGGUCUAAUCCUAACUCAAUUUUCUGUGACGGCUUCAUCUUCGGGAAUAAGAGAAUUAGACUCGAAACGUUCCGUUUUCUUGCAGAUUGCGAACGAGAACGAACCACGAGCAAAAAUUACACCUACAAAUCGGGUACAAAAAUCGAAAUCAUGACAGAAGGUACGAUUUAGUUUCUAAUAAAGUUUCAACAGGCGGAGCUUCUUAGACUUAGAGAUAACAACUAGAGGAUAAGAGACCUUACUCUACUCUCUGCUACGUACGUGGUGGGCGCACUACUAGAAAAUUAGUCAUUAGCGGCAUUUAUUUUUGCUGCUAAAUGAUCAACAAAUGCUGCUAAAAGUUUUAGCAGCAUAUGACACCAAAUGCUGCAUAUGCCAAUGUUGCUAAAAGUAUUAGCAGCAUUAAUUAUAAAUGCCGCCAAUAUAAAUCAAUUAGUGUCAUUAGGAAUAUGCCGCUAAAAGAGAUUAAAUACAAGUUUUAAAUUGUUUAUUAGCGGCACAUAAAUAAUAUGCCGUUAAUACAAAUAUCUGAUUUUAGACAUUAAAAUUUUAAAUUUGUAAUUUUAUUUUAUAUUUAAUUUUUUUGAGAUGCUACCCGCUUAAUUAUUUCUUUUUGUCUUAAACUUUGCUGGAAAUGUGAAUCAACUAGGUUUCGAACUUGAGACCUCGAGUACCAACAACCAAGCCCUUUGCCACUUGCGCUAGCGACUAUUAGUUAUGUAUAUUUUAAUUUUUUAUAUUUUAAGUCUUCUAUUUUAAAAUUUUAAAAUUUUAAUUUUAAAAUUUAAAUACUAAAUUUAAAUUUUUAAUUUUGAAAUAUGAAAUUUUAAGUUUCAAAAUUAAGAGUUUUAAAUUUGAAAUUUGAAAUUUAAAAUAAAUUUUAAAUUUUAAAUUUUAAAAAUUAUAUGUUUCGAAUUUUAAACUUUAAUUUUAAAAUUUUUAAUUCUAAAUAAAAAAGUAAUAUAUUAAUAAUUAUAUAUUAAUUAGUAAUGAUAUUUAGUAACAAGUGCUGCUAGUUUAUUAUAUUUAGCAGCAUUCACUAAUUUAUGCUGCUAAUUUAUCUUAUUUUGCAACAUUAAUAGCUAAAUAAUUAAAUCUAGCGGCAAUUAUCAUGUAAUGCUGCUAAAUAUAUUAAUUGACAUGAUUUAAAUAAAUAUUACGGAGCAAAAAUAUUGCGGGAUUUAGCAAUAAGUGUUGCUACUUUAUUACAUUUUGUGUCAUUUUUUAUAAAAUGCCGGAAACUUUGGCGGCAUUUACUAAUUUAUGCUGCUAAUUUAUUCUAUUUUGCAAUAUUAAUAGUAAAUUGCUGCUAAAUUAUUUAAUUUAGCGGCAUUUAUCAAGUAAUACCGUUAAAUAUAUUAAUUAGCGUUAUUUAAAUAAAUGCUGCGGAGUAAAUGCCGCUAAAUCAUAAAUUUGUAGUAGAGGCGAUUUGGAACGAGAGGGGCAAUGUGAUAUUUAGAGAUAGAAGUAUCAGGCUAUCAGCCCGAUACUUGUCCUACAGAGUAUUCGUCAUCUUUUGAUUUCGAGGAGGCGCACUGCCCCUAUGCCUCUUCUUGGGGCAAUCUUUUUUUUUUUUUUUUUUUUUUUUUUUUUUUUUUUCCGGAGCUUUAACUUGUCUCUAUCUGCUAAGUUUAUUUUCUCUAACGAAUAAAACAGAUAAUUUAUUAUCUAUCUUUUUUCUUAAAAGAAAACAAAUUGCAUUAGUUAGGGUGCAAAAUGAAGAAGAAGAAUGAAUCAAUCAUCCAAUACAUUGUAAAGUUGUUUACAGCAUAGCCAACAUGUUUAUAAUUAAUCGAACUUUACAUCAACUGUAUACAUAUUUAUUGAAUCAUUUGAUACAACAAAUUCGUUUGGAUGGAGAAUGAAGGUGACAAAUGAAUUAACUGUUCAAUUUAUUGACUAAAAAAGGAAAAAAGAAAAGAAAAGAAAAGAAGAACAAGCAAUACACAAGCUAUAUAUACGUGCAUUCAUGAAUCUCACGUCGAAGUAGUGACAUUAAUAAUGCUAAUGAACGAAGUAGGUGACGAGGAGAGCAACAAGCAUGAGAACAUAAGCAAUCCCUUGAUCGAUCGCGUUGCCGUCGAUCCGAUGUUUUUGUACCACCGCUGCCGCCGCAGCCUCCUCGUGGCCGUGCGCGAGCUGCGUGAACCCCGACAUGAACGCAACCGCGAUGAUGAACAGCGCGUACGCUCUCAUCGAACUCAUAUUCCAAUAUCUCUCAAGAAUUACUAAGGCNGCUUCCGCGUGGCCGUGCACGAAUUGCGUGAACCCCGACAUGAACGCAACCGCGAUGAUGAACAGCGCGUACGCUCUCAUCGAACUCAUAUUCCAAUAUCUCUCAAGAAUUACUAAGGCUUAUAAUGUUUGUAGCUAGCUCGGUGUGUGUGUGGUGGGAGUAGCAGUUGUUGUUGUGGUCCAGAGGGUUUGGUAUGUAGGGGUGUAUUUAUAGUUUUUGUGUGUGUGUGUGUGUGUGUGUGUGUGUGUGUGUGUGUGUGUGUGUGUGUGUGUGUGUGUGUGUGAGAGGAAGGGUGCUUUGGGAAUGGAGUGAGGGAUACGAAUUUGGAAGCCGGCCGUUGACCCGGAGAACGCGGAUGGCGGAAAAAAUUAGGGUUUCAAAGUAACGGUCAAAUGAGGGGUCAAAAGGGAGAGGAAAACAAAAAGAAGGUUCCUUGCCGUUGGAUCUCAUGAUCAGUGUUUUAUACGUGGGGUGAAUAUUAUUAAAUUUAAAAGUAUUUAACAUCGUUCUCUAUCAUGUUAAACUUUUAGUAAUAAAUAAUAGGGGCAAUUGCUUAUAUACUCCUGGAAAGUUUUCGACUUUUUGAUUUACCUUUCUUAGAAGGUUAAUAUUGAAAAUACCCUUUUUGCGUUCCAAUCUAUUUCUAAUAUACCCUAGAGUUAAAAUCUGUUAAUGAACUCCGUCAUUUCUGUGAAAUUACUAUUUUACCAUUUCAAAUAUACCCUUCUACCAUCACCGACUUUUCUUAUAUAUUUGCCCUUAAGUUAGGGGCACAAAAAGUAUUUUGCUUUUUGAUCUUUUCAAAUAUACUCUUCUACCAUCACCAACGUUUCUUAUUUGUCCUUAAGUUAAGGGUAAAAAUGGUAUUUUAUUUUUUUUAAACUGUGGUAGAUAUUUAACUCACGUUUAACCUAAGUUAACUUAACGGGUAGUAACUGCAGGAAUACUUUGAAAUAACGGAGGAACAUAUGAUAUUGGAAAGAAAAAAAAAAGGGAUAAAUGAGACAUUUUCGAAGUUUUAAGAGGUAUAUAGGUAAUUAUCCCUAAAUAAUAAUUAUUUCAUAUUAUUUAACAAAUAUGAGCCGUAGAUAAACCUGCAAUCCUCUCGGCUACUUACAAUCCGGCCGUUGGAUGCCAUGAACACCUGCUAUACCAUGUUUUUUAGGUGUAAUUAUAAGAACCUUGCAGCUUUUCUCGUGGGUCUAAUUUUUUUUUUUUUUUUUGAGAGAUAGGUAGCACGCUACCUACUUCGUUUAUUUUAUUUUAGAAAUAAAUUUAGCUGAAAAUAUGAAUCAUGCAACUCGGAUACGAAGUUGGGACCUCGUGUCCUUGCUAUUAACACUGCCAUCAAAAGUUAACAGAAUCUCCAAAUUAUUAAGUCUAUUUGAUACAAGGCUAAAGUAUAGCGUUGACAUCAUUUAAAUUUUUCUCUAUUUAGGGGGUAAAUUGAGACAAAAGGUAAAGUCGAGGGAGAGUUUUAUACUUGAAUCUUAUUUCCCAUAGAGAAAAUAUUCUGUCCAACAUCAUUUUAUUAUGAUACGCACAUUUGAAAACAACACACACGCCUCUUUUAUAUCGAUCUUAAUUAGGAAAAUACUACCUGUGAACUUGUAUAUAUAGAGAUCUAAAUCUUGCCCCUCCUGUAUCUAUCCUAAGAUUCAGAAAGCUUUUUGUUACGACAAACGUAUAAAUUGAAACGAAAAAUGACGAACACAAAAUAAACAAAGUACAAACAGAAAUAAAAGAAACACACAAAUUUACGUGGAAAAUCCUUUGUAGGAAAAAACCAAAGACGAGGAAGGAGAAAACUUCACUAUCGAAAUACAAUGUUCGAGUACAACCAACCACGAUCUGUCGCCUCUAGGGUAAAAAUGAAAAGGAAACUCUUAACGGUUUCGGAUCCGAUCCGUACCGAAAAGGAAACUCUUAACGGGCUCGGGCCGACACCGCUAUCCACCACAGACAUUCAUUUUUCCUUCACAAUUUGAUUUUUCAAAUUGGUCGCACUACGAAACUAUCGACGAGUCGAAAUUCCGAACUGAAGUCGAUUAUCAAUUUCGAGUCACAUCUAACACUCUUUUUAGUUUUAGUAUAUAAAAAAGCUAAUAAGAAUAGUGGACGACGGCCAACCAAUGCUACAGUUAAAUCUUUGUAUAAUUUUAUUACGGAUGGAGGACUGGGAGAUCCCUUAACCUCACAAAUCUGGAGAUCGAAAUAUGCUGGAAUGGUAAAAAUGAAAGUCUGUAUAUGGCUACUACUGAGAAAUAGAAUUGUUACUUUAGUCAAUCUUCAAAAGUGUGGUUAAUUGGCUCAAAAAGCAGUGCCAAUAAUCUUGAAACUUGUGAUUACCUUUUGUUUAAUUGCAUAUACUUUUUGUAUGAUCGUUGGCGCCAACUCAGCCUUCCGUCACUUUGAAUAUAGUUCGGCCCAAUCCGGCCUUAUAACAAGCUAACUUAGUCUCGUCCAACAAGGCAAGAUGCUAGUCCUUCAAAGCAUGCGAAAAUCAACUCCUUGACCUAUGACUCUAAUAGGUACCACUAGUGGGAUUGUUUGUGCUAACCAUUAAUUCUAAAAACUCGACCUAUUAUGUAGUGUUCCAAGAAAUUUAACUACCGAAACGAUUACAGUUUCGACGGCUCGUCGACAUUUCUCAUGAAUGUUAGGAUGAGUUAGAAAUGUUUGGACGUGAAAUUGACGUCACAAACAAAGUGAAAUAGAAAUUAUAGCUUUGUUACUCUCUAAUAAUUGUUCUCGUACUGUUUAUAGGUACUUCUAGUUGAUUCGUCAAGGCUUCUUAUGUAUGCAGAGAAUUUGUUGGUGAGCCUGGAUGAAGUUGGAACCCGGGGGUGUGACAUAUUAGAAGGAUACAACGAAUUCAAUUAAGACACGCAAACACAACGUCCAUAGGUCUCGAUUGUGACUUGAUCUUACUUGGCCUCUUGUCACUUCGAACAUGACUUAGGCUAGCCAGGCCUCUUGUCAUUUCCAAAGUAACUCGGCCCAACCUCAUAUUUUAUUGAUACAUACAUAAGAUGCUGGUCCCUUUAGGCUUCACUUUUGACACCUAAUCGUUUGCUCCGAUGAACCACCCCUUAGCACUCAUCUCAUAGAGGGCGUUAGAGGAAUAUGAGCGGAGAAGCUCACAUUUUUUUUUUUUUUGAGGAAAAGGUAGCAUAUUAUUUGCUUCAUUUAUUAGAAGAAUGAACUAGACUUUAGGGGUGACGUAAUAAACCUCGGUUGAAAAAAAAAAAACAUCAUUUCCACAGGGACAGGUUUAGAGUUUAUUGUUUAGAUUAGGAAGUAACUACUUAGCUACUUAAUCGGGAGGAUUUCCUCCCAUAAGACAUCAAGUAUCUGAUCUUAUUGACCGCUGACAGAGGGUCCGCAUUAGUCUUGCUAAAAGUCACACAAUUUCUGACAUUCCAGAUGACCCACCAGCAGGCUAUCAGUUCAGUCAGUCUAGUAUGAGUUGGUUGUGGAGAAGUUCACACUUAGAUAUAAUUACAACUAGAGGCUAAGAGGCCUUACGCUACUAUCAUCUAUGUGGUGGGUGAUUGGGAACAAGAAGGGCUAUGUGAUAUUCAGAGAUAGAAGUACAAGCCCAACUCUUGUCCGAGAGAGUAUUCCUCAUCUUUGAUUUCGUGGGAGGUGCACCGCCACUAAGCCUCUUGAGGCAAAUUUUUUUUUUUCUGACUUUUGUUUUUUUUUUUGUCUUUUUCUAGUGGACUAGAUUGUCUUCACUAACGCAGCUAAGUUUAUUUUCUCAAUGAAUAAAGCACAUAACUUAUUAUUUAUUUUUUUAAAAAAUNUUUUUUUUUUUUUUUUUUUUUUUUUUUUUUUUUUCUAGUGGACUAGAUUGUCUUCACUAACGCAGCUAAGUUUAUUUUCUCAAUGAAUAAAGCACAUAACUUAUUAUUUAUUUUUUUAAAAAAUAAAAACAAAUUGCAUUGGUUGGAGUGCAAAGAGAAGAAGAUGAAUGAAUCAACCAUCCAAUACUUUGCCUAAAAGGGAGUGAAAACAAAUUAUUUAAUAGCUUACAGUAUAACCAACAUGUUUAUUAAUCAAACUUAAUUUACAUCAACUGUGUACAUAUUUAUUGAAUCAUUGAUACAACAAAUUCGUUUGGAUAGAGAAUGAAGGAGAUGGAUGAAUUAUCUGCUCAAUUCAUUGACUAAAAUAGUAAAAAAAAUAAAAAAGAACAAGCAAUGCACAACCUAUAUAUACGUGCAUGCAUGAAUCUCACGUCCAAGUAGUGAUAUUAACAAUACUAAUGAACGAAGUAGGUGACGAGGAGAGCAACAAGCAUGAGAACAUAAGCAAUCCCUUGAUCGAUCGCGUUGCCGUUGAUCCAAUGUUUUGGUAGCGCCGCCGCCGCCGCAGCCUCUGCGUGGCCAUGCGCGAGCUGUGUGAACCCCGACAUGAACGCAACCGCGAUGAUGAACAGCGCGUACGCUCUCAUUGAACUCAUAUUCCAAUAUCUCUCAAGAAUUACUAAAGUUUAAUUAUAUAUAGUUUUGAAGCUCAGCGAGAGGAUUAAUGGAGAGGGAGGAGUAGUAGUUGUUGUUGUGGUGGUGGUGGAGAGGGGUUGGUACGUAGAGGGUGUAUUUAUAGUAAUGUAUUUUGUUUUGUUUUCUUAUUUAUUUUUAUGGGUUUUUUUUUGAAAAAAAAUAAAUUAAGGAAUGUGUUUGGGAUUGGAGUGAGGGAUACGAAGUGGAAGCCGGCCGUUGACUGGAGGAAUUAACGCGGACGGCAGGAAGCGCGGGAGAAAGUGGGGGCGGGCAGUCCUAGGAAUGCGAAUGCGGCGAAGCCAGAAUUUAAAAUUUAGAAAAUCAUAAUUUAAAUUGGGUAAAUUUUAAAUAUUACUUAUGUGGUAUUGUAUUUUCUCACUUUACUAUCCUAUGAUUUAAAGUGUAUCAAUUUGGUAUCCUGUGGUUUUAUUUUUCUCUUUUCGUCAGCCCCUCCGUUAACUUUUCGUUAAAUUAUAUAUAAAAAAUUUCAGAUAUUAAUUUCACCUAUAAUUUAUCGAAUAUUCACUUUAGUGCCCUUUAGUUUUAACUUUGUCAUUGAUUUAAUGAAAGAAAUUUAGUAUAGGGGAUAACAAAAAGAAAAAAAAUAAAACCAUAGGAUACGAAAUUGAUACACUUUAAACCACAGAGUACUAAAGUGAGAAAAUACGAAACCACAGAGAUGAUAUUUAAUGUUUUUCUAUUUAAAUUUAAUAGAAAAAAAUUUGAUCUCAGAUAAUAAGCAAAAGCGUCGACAAUGUGCUCAAAGAGAGGAGUAGGGCUAGAGGUGGUGAAGGGAAUGGGCCGAAGACUGAGGGGUCCAAACGAAAAAUUUGGAGCACAAGUGUCACGCCCCGGGUUAAACAUUCCCCGGGCACGCCGACAAAUCCGCCGUAUACAAAGAAAUUUUUCCUGUAUACGAAGCGAUAGCUGUACCUGUAAAUCAAACACUACUACGAACAGUAGUAGAGAGCUGCUAGAGAAAACAAAGUUUCAUAUACAUAGUUCAGAUCCAAAANGUUGCACGGAGUCCGUUUUGCGCCUAUUUGACGCCAACGCGACUCGGACUUGUCCCGACACUCUCCAGAGCUGUCGACAAGCCUCCACAGUCAAACACCAGGGAUCUCACAACAAGAUUGUAAAAGAAAAUUUUCAAGUUGGCCCCUUAAAACUAAAAUUUAUGGUGUAUGAAUAUGCAGAUGAAUUAGGUGCAUGCAAUAAUUUUUACUUUGAAACAGUAUCAACAUGAAAUAAUUAUAUUGAAGGUAUAGGGACUAAAUCAAAAUUUUGUUGAAGGUUCAGCUAGGGUAGGAAACAUUGAAAUUAAAAGUUUGAUGAUCAAAAUGAAAUAUGAUUUGAAGUUUAGGGACUACUAAUUACCAACCGUUCCUACAGCAAGUGGCAAAAAGUUUGGUGAUUGGUACCUGAGUCUCAAGUUCGAAUUCUAGUUGAUUCAUAUUUCUAGCUAAAUUUAUUUUUAAAUGAAAUAAACGAAACGGGUAGCGUGCUACCGAUCUCUCAAAAAAAAAUAAAAUAAAAUAUACUUCUGUUAUUUGGUACGUUGCGCUAUAAAUUACAAAUGCUCGUAACUCUAGUUUUCCGAAACAGCAUAAUUGGCUUCACCUUGAAUAGUAACAAAGCCAAUUAGGGGAGAGAGAAACAGAAAAAAUAAUAAAAAAUUAACUACAUAUUGUAUCUUUUUUUCUUCAUUUCAUGUGCUAGUGUGGAAAUUUUUGGUAAAAAAAUUUCCAAAAAAGCUAUAACUCCAAAGUUAUUCGUUUUUUAUCACAAAUUAACAACAGUAAAACAUAAUUUUUAUCCGAAUUUGAGUUAAUUUUUUUUAACUUGAAAAUGAAUUACAUGCAAACAAAUAGGAUAAAACUAAGGAAAGUUUUUAUGUACUGCUAAUACAAUUGAGAAAAACUCAAUUAUUUCUUAUUGCAGUUCUGGGUAGAUGAACCUCUUUUGUGGCUGAUGGGCCAGGGGUGUUUAUUUUUAAAAUCAUUAUUUAUCAUUAGUAAUCAUACAUUUUAGGGUAAAUUGCAUGUUUAUUCUCAAACUACGAGGCACGCGACACUUUGAUUCUCAAAUUUUAAUUUAUUAUAUAAUUUCUGACUCGAAUUUUUAAAAUUAUUACAAUUUAGUCUCACAACCUAAUUUAGUUAACUAAUUAAAUAUUGACGGAUCUAUGAUAUAAAAAAUUUAUGUAAUAUUGUAAUUAUUAGAGUACAAUCAAUCACAAUAUUAUAACAUCACUUAUAUAUAUAUCAAUUGUUUGUCAAUAUUUAAUCAACUAAAUUAACUAGGUUAUAGGACUUAAUUGCGUCAUUUCUGAUAGUUUGAGCCAAAAUUAUAACAAACUAAAGUUUAAGGACCAAAAUGUCACCCCCGCCCCAUAGUUUGAAGGGCCAAAUGCGCAAUUUACCCUAUAUUUUGCAAGAACCCAAAGCAAAUCUAAGCAUAGCUACACAUCCCAAAUCUGCAUGAGCCCCCCUGCUUGCACUUGUUCUUGCAACAUCCACAGUUCAAGGGAUCAGACAUUACAUUCAGACAGCGACCGCCGCAGCAAGUCUCUCCGUAACUGCAUCUCCGACCGCACUGCCCGCAGUUCAGCAAGUUGGUAUCCACAUUUACGCACCGCCCCGAGCAGCAGUCCGGGCCAGGACUGCUCGGCCCACGACACACUCUGGGAAAGACAUUGCAUGAUAGUGGACCUCGCAGAUUCAUAGAUUUUAUUGACGAAUUUUGAUUGCGAGUAAGAUCAUUCGCAAUUAAUGGAGAUCUGUUUGUUUGGUGUGGCUCGUCUUUAAACUUGUUGUUGUCAUCGUUGCAAAGAGCGGUGGCUAAAACGAUAAAAAGUAAUGCUAAGAUGAGGAUUAGCUUCAUAAUGUUGUACUACAAAAUAUAUAGAAAAGGUUGAUGAGGAGGGAGAGAUGUUGAGUUUGAGUAUUUAUAGAGGGGGGAGUUAAGAGUUGGUUCAAGUAAUGUAUUAAGUUAGGCCUCUCAAUGGAAAGCUCAAAAUGGUAUAUAUGAGAAGUAUAUUUAUCCAUGGAUUGGGAAGAUGUGCAACAUCUCUCAUGCAUGAUAUUCUUUACGUGUUAAUGCAACAUUAACUAAAAUGAAGAGUUAUGAUCACAAUUUUUACAGCUAAGAGGUACACUAAUGUCUUAUCUGAUUUGCAUAAUAAUUUUCAAAGUAAUUCUAAAUUGGUGCAACAAUUAAUUAAAGAUUCUAUUCUAAGAUGGAUCUAUGCUCUAGUGCAUUCAUUUACAUUCGCGGACCUUACAUGUGAGUGUAGUGAAGGAUGUAUGAACAAAUUAAAUUUAAAGGCUCAAUAUCCAUCACCUAUCACUUAUUAAAUGAAAAAAGAAAAAAAGAUUAUAACAAUGGCACUGCAUGUGGGGACUUGUUAAUGUAGAGCUAGUAGCCGGCAGUUUAGGUUUUGAUUAGACUUAGACAUUGAGUAUGGUGAGCUAUUAAAAUCUAACUAAAAACUGUACUGUUAUAUUCUAAGGCCCCAUUUGGUUCGGGGUAUAAACGGGGAUAACGAAAGUUAUUCCCUCUAUUCUGCUAAAUGGGAUGAUGUUUUAUCGGAAUAUUUUAUUCUGCUAUUCUGCCAAACGGGGAUAACGAAAGAUUCAAAUUUAACUUUUAAGAGAAGUUAGAAUUAAGAUAUCAACACAUACAACCGAUAAUAAAAAAUAAUAUUAUUAAGAGAAAUUAGAAUUAGGGUUCUAGGAAUGGGUAAAAUAAAAUGGGUAUUCAUGCACUAUUUUUAUUUUAAAAUUUUUUUAAAGAAAUUAUAUAUGUGCCUACCCGUAGGUACCUGUGGAUUGCUCAAAAUAUUCAUAAUUUAAUAAAUAUCCAACCCAUUUUAUUCAUAAUUUUUUUGAUAAUAAAAAUUAGUAUCAAUACCAGCCUGCUGUAUUGCCACACAACACCCACUCAAAUAUUUUUGAAUGAUUCACUGUUCUAUUUUCCAUUCAAAUACAAUUCAAUUUUAUUUUUUAUUUUUAUUCCAAACAUGAACUAAAUAUGCCGUAAUAGCUAGCUCAUCAGCAACUUUAUUUUCUUUUGCACCUUCUAGAAAUAUUUUUUUUUCUUUAAUUUAAUUAUCCACAUGAUUUUUCAUACUACCAAGUUAUGAUUGAUUAAGAACACUCUUUCAAUAUAGAAGGCAAUUUAAAAUCUUAUAUAAAUAUUAGAUUUAUUGUUAUAGUUGAGAAGCAAAUGAUGAUUGGAAAAAGCUUAUUCUUAGAUAAAAAUAUUUGUAAGUUUCAUACUAAUCUAAAAUUUACACUAUUGCAAUUAUAUUCAUUGGAUAUCUCUCAUAUAUAAUUUUCAUAGCCUAGAGAACUGAUUUAUGUAAUUAAGAAUCAUCUAAUUAUACAAAUAAUAUGAAUCCUAAUAAUUUAUAGAUGUAAAAAUUAUAAAAAUAUGAUAAGUUAAACUUGUGGCUAAGAUUCGAAGACGUAAUGAAAAAGAUACUAAGAAUUUAAAUUAAUCGCGAAUUGCUUGUGCAUGAAUGCAUAUAUCUCACAAUUACAAAAAUUUCUCAUGGAAAAAAUCAACUAAGAUACAAGUAAUACUAAUUCAACUACUUAUAUUUUAUAUAUAUGCAUAUUAUACUCAUGCAUUGUAAACUAAUUCAUUUCGUUUAUGUUGCUCAAACCAUUUUAUACUAGCUACGAGUCUAAUCACAAAUAAAAAUGAGGUAAACCACAUGGGGCAAUCUAAAUUUUUUAGAAAUUAUGCGGACAAAAAUUUAAAAUUUAAAAUUUAAAUAAUAUUUGAAUAAUAUUUUAUAAAUUUGAAAAAUAUUUCUAUUAAAAUUUGAAGUUUAAAAUUAUUUUUUAAAAUAAUUAAAUUAUUGUAUGGAAAGGGAGCUCAGCUGUGUUGAGCUGCGUUGAGCUUGGCGGGCAUGGCCAUGCGGGGUCGUGCCAUGCUGGGCCGGGCCGGGCCGAUGCCUAGGCCCGGUCCGAGCCCGACAUGAUCGGUCUUGGGCCGUGCCGGGCCGAUAGGCUAAAAAUGGUUGGCCCAACACGGCCCAGCAUUUCGGAUCGGAUAGGUCUGACACGGAUUCUACAGUACCCGUGCCGUGCCUAGUGACGACCUAGAGCUGUACCGAGCCGGACGUCCCGAUUUUACAUCCCUUACUCCCUCAAAUUCUAAUUUUUUUUUAUUUUUCUGUGUGUGGAAUUAAUAGACUUUCAUUGAAAAAUAUUGAAAGAGUUUUCGAAUUUAAUGAUAAUUUUACUAAAUUAUAUGACUUUAAUAAUUUUGGGUACUGAAGGAUAAAUUUAAAAUUUUUGAAUAAUAGCCAGGAGUAUAUAAGCAGAAACUCCUAUUUUCUACAUAAAUAAAAUAGAAAAAUAAUUAAAUAUUCCUGACGUAACGUCAACAUCACUGUUAAGUCCCCUGGUUGAACUAGUGAUUCUUAAUACAGUAAUAUUUUCCAGAUUGUUGUUUGGCCAGAUUUUUUUUUAAAUAGAUUACUUUUUUACUACAUCAAUGAACAAAUCACAAAUUCAACAUAAGCAGAACACUCUAUUGUACUAUAUAUAUAUAUACUGAUAUCCGACUUUCUUGUUUCAAGCUUCAAAUAAAGUAACUUUUGAAACUCACAUAAAUUGAACUGAAACAACAAGCGGAAACGAAUCAAACUUACAUUUUUAGAUCGUUAUUUGACCAACAUUUUAAAACAUUGCGUUUUACUACAUUAAUGAACAAACCACAGAUUCAACACAAGUAGGACGCUCUAUUAUACGAUACUGAUAUCGUACUUCUUUAUUUCCAGCUUCAAAAAAAGUAACGGUCGAAACUAAGUAGAACCGAAACAACAAGCGGAAAUGAAUCAGAUAUAUGGGUAGAGAGGAGCUGUGGCAAUACCACAUAAUCCUUCUUUUGCAGCGACAUCUUUUGCUAUUCGCAUGUAUCCACUUUCGCCCCAUUUGGGGCCGGCUGAGUUCUUCAGUAUCCAAUACUUUUUCCCCGAUUCCUCACCGUAGCCAACUACGGCGACAGUGUGAGUGACAUCGGGCGAACAAUCUUCAUCAAAAAUACCACCUUUGUAAUGUUGCCAAGUUGUGGCGUUAACUGCGACCGUCACCGGUUGGUCAUUCACAGCUUUCAUAAGCUCAGCUUCGUUGUUUCUCGUAACCAACCUGUAGCCAGUAAUGUAAGCUGCAUGAUCUGAUUCCUUGGUUUUGUCACACACCCCUUUAGAUGCCUUGUAAGGGUAGUUAGCCUCGGUCGUCAAGCCUUUAUUUGCGAUGAUAUAAAGGAAAGCUUUUAAUCGGCUACCGCCCGAGCAGUCACCACCGUUGGAACAAUCGAGAACUUGCUGUACUGAAAGAGAUUUUAGUUCGCCUUUCUUGAUCUUGUAGAUGCUCUCAACUGUCGCUACCACAGCGAAUGCCCAGCAGCAAGCUAGUUUUGUAUUAAGUGACACAUUCAUUAGAAUAUAUCAUAGAUGUAAGUAAGGUUUUAAGUGUUCGUCGGCACGGCUGCAUCCCCGUGCCGUACCGUUCUAACAAGAUACCGGCACAAUACAGACUCCGUGCCGAUGGCACAGCUUAAAACCCUCUAUUUUUUAAAUUAGUAAAUAAUUUUUUCAACAAAGUUCAAAAGAUGUGAUAAAAAGACAUAAUAAAUAGUUAGAAUAUUUUGUUGCUAAAGAAAAUAAAUAUUUCAUGCUAUUAUGUGUCGGCACAUAAGAAUUUUUUUGACCGGCACGCAUCAACACGUCUCGGCACGCACCGUGUUGGUAAGUUUUCAGUAUGACUCCGUGCCACGACACUUAAAUCUUUGAAUGUAAGAGAAAGUUAACAUACUUAAUUAGUUAAUAUUGGUCGAUUCAGUAUGUUUUUACCAAAAGAUUUUAUUAUACUACAGGUGAAAAUUCUUACCGCAGUCUCCUUGGUCCUUGACUUCAGUUACGGCACCUUCGGUCCUCCAAUCAACGGUGGCUCUCAAGGCCAUGUUUUUGGUAUGACCCCGUGUCACAACACUUAAAUCUUUGAAUGUAAGAGAAAGUUAGCAUGCUUAAUUAGUUAAUAUUGGUCAAUUCAGUAUAUUUUUACCAAAAGAUUUUAUUAUACUACAGGUGAAAAUUCUUAAGUUACAGCACCUUGGGUCCUCCAAUCAACGGUGGCUCUCAAGCGGGUGUUUUCGUACUCGGCUUCCACUAGAACGGUCUCUAUAUCUGUUGGGAUGUCCUGCUCUGCAGUUCCUACAACGUACGUAUUUGCAUACUCCUCGUUUGUCAUAUCGCUAAACCGGUUAACUCCGAGGGUGUACGAGCGCCCGCCGACUUUGUUGAAUUCUUCAAUGUACUUCACGUUGUUCUUAAAGAUCUCGUACCGUUGCUGCUUCUCCUUCGCAUUCGCGUACGUUCGACCGUGUUCGGACAUCCAAUCUUCGAACAUCGUCAUCGUCGGCCCGUCCAUUCUAGUGUUCCAAGAGCUGAACAACAAAGAGAAACACAACAAGACAAGAGAUGAGCCGAUAAUUAAGCAAAGAUUGGAAUGUGAAAGCCAUAGCUACAAUGUAUACUAUACUUAGAAGUUGGAGCUUGCGUUUGUGAGGUUAAACUCUUAAGAUUAGGCUCGUAUAUAUAGAGAUUUGGCGAAGACAAUGUGAGGGGGAAGGCAAUGUCAUCGUAUAUAUCCUCCUCUGUGGAAAAUCAUAUUUUAAUUUGUACUCCACAAUGAGUAGGUACGACUAGGUUAUACAAAUUAAGUCGACUUUCAAUAUUGUGUGAUGUUAGUCAUAGGAUUACCGUGUGCCCCUCUUUUGGUUUUUCCCAAAUUAUAUAUAUAUAUAUAUAUAUAUAUAUAUAUAUAUAUAUAUAGUUGAGCUAGAAUAUUCUCAAAAAUACUAUUACGGUGGUGCUUUUGAGUUUUUAGCCAUUGGAUGGAGAGAUGUGAGGUUGAGAUGAUGGUGGUUGGUGAUGGUAGCUGGAAUAGUGUUUAAUCCAUGGACUAUUAGUAAUCAAGGAGUAGAUCCAAUGGCUAAAAACCUAGUAGUAUUAUGGGUGAUAUUCUAGCUCAAUUUUANAGUGAGGCUACUAUGCUAUCCGAAGCACGGAGCCUUCCGUGCUUCCAGCUCGUUUUCGAUGUUGCGACUUUCGAAUCGUCGAUCGACUUCGUUAAACUUGAUCUAGAGUUUUUGAAGUAUCUAGAAAAUAAAUUUUAUGAUUUUACGAUAUCAUUUGCCUAGUGAACGAAGGGGCUCAAAAUCAACGGCUGAAAAUAAAAAUCUUACAAAAUGUAAUAAUAUGACAUUAAAAUUUUAAAUCAAAUAUAUUAAUCUUGUUUUAUAUAGUAUAAAGAAUUUUCUAUUAAAAUUUCACGUGAUUUGGAUAUUUCUACACCGUUAAACUUGCAAACGGCUCACAACGGCCAUUGAAAUUUGUUGAUUUUGAGCCCAUUUGGUCACUAGGCAAAUGAUAUCAAAAAAUAAUAAAAUUUAUUUUCUAGGUACUCCAAAUACUCUAGAUCAAGUUUAACGGAGCUGAUCGACGAUUCGAAAGUCGCAACAUCGAAAACGAGCUGGAAGCACGGAAGGCUUCGUGCUUCCGAUAGCAUAGUAGCCUCACUCAUAUAUAUAUAUAUAUAUAGAAUUAGGCUGGAAUACUAUUAAUAGUAAAAUGAUCUUUUUGCUAUCAAGUUUUUAACCCUUGGAUGAAAAAUUGUAGGGUUAGGAUGAUAUUAGUCGGUUGUAGUAUUUAAUCCAAUGGUUAGAAAUAAUGAAAAGAUAUGAUCCAAAGGCUAAAAAACUGGUAGCAACAAUGGAUUUUGCUACUAAUAGUAGCCCAGUCCAACUCUCUCUCUCUCUCUAUAUAUAUAUAUAUAUUUUUUAAAAAGUGAUGAUAGAAAUUUUGUAAUCAAGAUCGAGAGUAUAGAUCUUGUUUUAAAUACUUUAAAGAAUUUUGUAACAAAUAUUCCAUUGAUUUGGAUAGUUUUACACCGUUAAAGGAGAAAACGCCUCAUAUUUACUAUUAUAAUUACAAAAUUUGAAACUCUUUGAUCAUUAGGUCAACAAUGUCGAAAAGAUUUGAAAUUUGGUUUCUAGAUACUUCAAUGGUAUAGAUCAUGUUCAACGAUGCUGAUCGUCGAUUUGAAAGUUCUAUCAUUGAAAACAAAUGGGUGGCAACAGAGCCAUUUGCUAUUGAUCGUAUUCCAGCUCAUAUCUCUCUCUCUUUCUCUCUCUCUCUCUCUCUCUCUCUCUCUAUAUAUAUAUAAUUAUGCUAAUAUACUAUUGAUAUUAUCAAGGCAUUUGGUACUAUCAAGUUUUCCACCGUUGAGUGAAAGAAUGUGCGGUUAGAAUGAUAAUGAUCUUCUAGAAUUGAGUAGGUGGUUAGUUAAAUAGCAUAAUCUAACAGGUGAAAAUGAUCAAAGAAUAAAUCUAACGGUAGAAAACUCGAUAGUAUCAAAAAUAUUUUUCUAUAAUCAGUUAAUCACAUUUUUUUAUUUGAGUAAAAAGUAAAAUAAAAAUACUUUUCUAAUAACUAUGAUGCAACAUGUGAAUCUAAAGAGGGAACAAUAUAUCUUAUUGAUUAGAGAUAUCACAUUAGUAAUAUAACUGAUAUGUUUUAAAUUUUUCUCUCCGAGAGACACGGAGUCAAUGGUCGAUUAUCACAUGCUAAAUCAUGUAAUUAAGGACCAAUGUGAUUUCACAUUGGCACAAUGCGGUUUCACAUGCUUUUGUUUCCGCUGCAGCAUUUGUUAAUUGCAGUUAUCAACACCACGUCAUGCCAUUGUUGUCUCGUCUGCAACAAGCGCAUAAAAAAUUUUGUAAAAACAUAUAAAAUUUAUUAAAUUAUGUAUUAUUUUGAAUCGAUUAUCUCAUUUUUUUAAAAUUUUGAUUUUAUUAUUGUUUACCAAAGACUAGCUUUGAUAUUUACUUACCUCAUGAGCAAUUCGGAUUGGAUUCUCCGCAGGGACUCAACCUCCUCAAGGAGGCUAUGUUUGGGUGCAUGUUUGGAUCGGACCAAAUUUUGCAACUUUAUAAACUUAUUGACUCGAUUGAUUGUUGCGUCCAGAAAUUAAGACUGUGAUUUCGGCUAAUAAUCUAAAAGAAUAAUUAUCUAUAUACCCUCAUACGUUUGAAAAUACUCGAUUUAUUCCUUUUUUUUUCUUUCUAAAAUACCCCUCAUAUGUUCCACCGUUAUUGUAAAAUAUCCCCGCAAUUAUCUCCUGUUAAGUUAACUUGGAUUAAAUAUGAGUUAAAUAUUUAUCAUAGUUAAAAAAAAUUAAAAUACCAAUUUUGCUAUUAACUUAAGGAUAAAUAAGAAUUGUUGGUGACGGUGGAGAGGUAUAUUUGAAAAGAUCAAAAAUCAAAAUACUUUUUGUGCCCCUGACUUUAAGGGAAAAUAAAAAAAGUCGGUGAUGGUGGAAGAAUAUAUUUGAAAGGGCAAAAUAAUAAUUUUUUACAGAUAACAGAGUUCAUUAACGAUUUUAAUUUUAGAAGUAUAUUUGAAAUAGGUUAGAACGUAAAAAGGAUAUUUUUUUUCAAUAUUAAAUCAGAAAGUCGGAAACUUUAUAGGGGNGAAUGGUAUAUUUGAAAGGGCAAAAUAAUAAUUUUAUACAGAUAACAGAGUUCAUUAACGAUUUUAUCUCUAUGGGUAUAUUUGAAAUAGGUUAGAACGUAAAAAGGAUAUUUUCAAUAUUAGUCUUCUAAGAAGGAUAAAUCAGAAAGUCGGAAACUUUUCACGGAUAUAUAAGCCAUUGCCCCUAAUCUAAACUAUUGCCGGAAUCGGAAUGAAAACUUACCAAAGAAAAAAAACUAGAUUUACCUAUCUGCUUAACUCGCUCUCAACCUAAAACUAUCGAAAAUUAUAAAAUGCUAAAAACUAUCUAGCUACUAUUUUUCUAAAUAUCUCGAGCUGUCCAAAUUCGUAUUCUAUAUAUCAAAUACCCUUUUAGUUUGUAAUUUGAGUCAGUAAAUAAUAUUUUAGCUCCAAAAUCUAAAUUGUUGUUUAAUUUAAUAAAAUUACAAAAAUUAUAAAAAAUAUACUAACCAUAAUUGUUAAAAUAAACGAUAUAUUCAUAUUUAGAUAAGUCACCGUUUUCUUCGCUUUUGUAUGCUUCUUUUGUGCUAGCAAUAUUUGAUAAUAUAAAUAAUCAGAUAUAACUAUCGCGAGUCGAAAGAAACAUCCUGGAUAAUGCGUAAGAGAGAUAUCUAUAUUUAUACUAGUUUAAUAAUUGUGAGUGUGAGAGGUUAGGUGGGCCUGCUCUACUCUACAUUUGAGAGCGUUUAAUUUGUACAUUCCAAAGCUUUUUUGAAGUACUUAUAAAUUGAAUUUUUUAAUUUUCCCGAAUCAUCAUAAUAUAAAAUCCAUCAAGCAAUGAUAGAAUAAACAAUUAAAAUUAAUUGACAAAUGAGGCCCUAAAUUUUAAGAGUACGAGUAGGGACGUUAAUGGGUAUGGAUAUCCGAAAUUUUAUCCGAAUCUGAACCCGAAAGAAACAGAUAUAUCCGAUGCUAAAUGGAUAUGGAUUCGGAUACGGAUAUCAAAAAUAGAAACCCGAUGGAUGUGAAUUCGGAUAUGAAUUUUGACUGUACCCCACUCGAAUCCGACCCGAACCCAAAUUUAUCUUGAUUAUAUAUAUAUAUAUAUAUAUAUAUAUAUAUAUAUAUAUAUAUAUAUAUAUAUAUAUAUUCCAAACAACUGUUCUGUACUCUACAAGAUUGAUCACGAACAUCGACUUCAAAUUCACGAAUUGCAGGUUAUGGGUGUAACAGUUGAUAUGAUUAAUGUAUACGUCGGAAUCAUGAUACUGUGAUAUGUAAAUCAAUCUCACUCAUUAUUGAAUAUAGAUGCCUAGAUGAUUUUAAUUUUUCCAGAUCAAAUGGUAAGGAACCNUUAUGUGCGAAAAAAAAAAGUCACCUUUCGUACUCUCAUCCUAUGAAUUAAAGAGCCCUAACUUACUUCGUCAUUUUUUAAGCUCACAUCUAAUUAAGUACGUACGAUUCAAGGGGGAGGAUGGAUCUCUGCAGUUGUCUAGCCUAAGCCCCGCCUAAAAAUUCUUGGGCUUAGGCUUGGGCUGAGGUUUAGGCUUUGGGUUUAGGCUUGGUCUUGGGCUUGGCUUGCCUAAAAUUUUUAAGUAUAGGUUUAGGCUUGGGCUGGUUUUUAGGCUUUAGGCUUAGACUUGGGCUUGGGCUCUUAAACUUGGGUUUUGUUAAUAAAGAAAAAAGUUAUAAAGUUUUAUAUAAUAUAAUUUAGAUUUGAAAAUUUAUGUUUAAGUUUGUAUUGUAGUUUAUAUAUAUAUAUCUCUCUCUCUCUCUCUCUCUCAAACCAACCCUAUGAUAACUAUCCUUUUACAGGAAAAACGAUUCAAAAAUCGGAAACCUAGUUGAGAAAAGUAGUAAAGAUUAGUAACCUAAUUUAUGAUAUUGGAUCACCCUUGGUGAGUUGGGAUCCCCUGGUGAGUUGAGAUUGCCUGAUUAUAGUAGGAAUGGGAUGUUAUAUAUAUAUAUAUAUAUAUAUAAUAUAUUGAAUAUAAAUAUUAAAAAUAUUAUUCUUUAUUAUAUAUUUUAAUUUUUUGAGAAAUAACGGUUGUUUCACAUUGUUUAACAUAAUAUAUAUUUCUAAAUAGUCUUGAGAAGGUGGUAAGUUUGAAACAAUUCCGCAGACAAAUUUGAUUUUGUGUUUUUUUAUCUUAUCCUUUUAGCUCAAGUAGUUUAUAUUUAAUUACUUGAGUUGGAUUGUCUCACUGGCUAAAUUUUGUUUAAGUGGACUUCUAUUAAUUAACUAAUGAAAAGUUGACCUGUAGAGUUUAAUUAAAUUGUGAUUAUAUUAAUGAGGAGUGUGGAAAAUUGAAAAAACAAGCACACCCAAAAAUAGUUGACAUGAGUGCUCAAAUUAAAACUACAGAAGAAUAAUUCGCUUAAAAUGAACAAAUAUAACGCUCAUCGAUAUCCAUUAUGACUCGUCUAAUCAUUUUUAUGUACGCACUACAACAAAAACGGUCUAUAGCGUAUAGGUCAAAAAAGUGCUGCUGGCUAAAUUUACCGACACUUUUGUAAAGUGUUGCUAUAUGUAGGGUCGCUAGAUAUAUAGUGACAGUUAAAGAGUGUUGCUAUAAUCUAAAAGAGUGCUGCUAAUUUACCAACAUUUAUUUAAGCAUCUAGCAACCGCCGGAACUCUACCUCGUUGGCUGCGGUGGCGGAGGAGGACGAGAGGAAAUGAUCUUCGUCUAGAAUUUCAGUCGAUUGAGUGAGGGGAGAAGGGAAAAUGAUAAUCGAUUUUUAUUUUCUCUUUCUUUCUUUUUUCUUCUCUGUUUGUAAUCGGGCCGAAUAAGCUAAGUGGAGUGGGUUGAGUAGAGUACCCUUUUAUUUUUAGUUGGAUUGGAAUUUAUAUUUAGGCAUUAGUAGGAUUUUUUUAAGUUUUGGCAUAAAUGUGACACUUAUACAAAAGUAUCUCAAACAUGUGUCGUUAUAACCUAAUUCUGUUGUAGUGACGCCACUUCAAAUACAACUUGACUCAACCUGGUCUUUACCUUGGUGGCUGGCCCAAAUAUAUAAUUACAGAAUAUUAUUCAAUAUCUGACUUAAUGAAAAAUUAUAUGGAUCGAGACCUCCUCAACUAUAUAUAAUUAAUCCAUCUUAAUUAAUAUAAAUUCUUUUACGUACCUUUGCUUUCUUUUUUUUAGAGGCAAUUUCUUUUACUUUUAAUUUGUUUUAGUUUGAGUUAUUCUAAUUAACUUAACAGGAGAUAACUGCGGGAGUAUUUUAUAAUAAUGGUGAAACGUAUGAAGAGUAUUUUAGAAAGAAAAAAAAGUAGAGAUAAAUCGGAUAUUUCCAAACGUAUGAGGGGUAUAUAGGCAAUUAUCUUUUUAAAUUAAUUACAAAUUGCUUGUGCAAGAAUGAAUUUAUCUCAUAAUUACAAAAAUUUCUCAUGGAAAAAAUCAACUAAGAUACAAGUAAUAUAUACUAAUUCAACUACUUAUAUUUUAUAUGCAUAUUAUACUCAUGCAUUAUUGUAAACUAAUUAAUUUCGUUUAUGUUGCUCAAUGCAUUUUAUAUUAGGAGUCUAAUCACAAAAAAGUUAAGUUUAAUAAAGAGCUAAACAACAUGAGACAAUCUAAAUUUUUUAGAAAUUAUGCAGGCAAAAAUUAAAAAUUUAAAUUUUAUAUUUUUAAAUUUGAAAAAAAAUAUUUAUAUUAAAAUUUAAGUUUAAAAUUAUUUUUUAAAAUAAUGACAUUAUUGUAUGGAAAGGGAGCUCAGCUGUGUUGAGCCAUCUUGAGCUUGGAAGGCAUGGCCAUGCGGGUCGUGCCGUGCUGUGUCGGGCCGGGCUGACGCUUAUGUCCGAUCCGAGCCCGACAUGAUCGGACCUGGGCCGUGCCGAGCGAAUGGGCUGAAAAUGGUUGUCCCAACACAGCCCAUCAUUUCAGUCGGAUAGGUCUGACACGGAUUCUACAGUACCCGUGCUGUGCCUGACUAAGGGCCAUACCGAGCCGGACGCUCCGUUUUACAUCUCUAUUCUCCCCUCAAAUUCUGAUUUUUUUUUUCUAUGUGUGUGGAAUUAAUAGACUUUCGAUAACAAAUAUUGAAAAUGUUUUCGAAUUCAUUGAUAAUUUCACUAAAUUUUUUGACUUUAAUAAUUUUGGGUACAGAAGGAUAAAUUUAAAAUUUUUGAAUAGUAGCCCGGAGUAUAUAAGCAAAAAUUUCUAUUUUCCACAUAAACAAAAAAAUAAUUAAAUAUUCAUGACGUAAUGUUGACGUCACUGUUAUGUUCCCUAGUUGAAUUAGUGAUUCUUAAUCGAGUAAUAUUUUCAGAUCGUUGUUUGACCAGAUUUUUUUUAAAAAAAUAUUAAUCAGACAUAGUUUAGAUAAACAUUAAUGAACAAACCACAUAUUCAACAUAAGCAGGGCUCUCUAGUAUACAAUACUGAUAUCAUACUUUCUUAUUCCAAGCUUCAAAUAAAAGUAACUGUUGAAAGAGAUUACAUAAAUAGAACUGAAACAACAAGCAGAAACAAACCAGACAUACAUUUUCAGAUCGUUAUUUGAUCAGAUUUUUAACACAUUGCAUUUUACUAUAUUAAUGAACAAACCGCAAAUUUAGCACAAGCAGCAUACUCUAUUAAACGAUACCGAUAUCGUACUUUUUUAUUUCAAUCUUCAAAUGAAAGUAACUGUUGAAACUCAUAUCACUAGAACCGAAACAACAAGCGGAAAUGAAUCAGAUAUACGGGUAGAGAGGAGCUGUGGCAAUACCACAUAAUCCUUCUUUUGCAGCGACAUCUUUUGCUAUUCGUAUGUAUCCACUUUCGCCCCAUUUAGGGCCGGCUGAGUUCUUCACUAUCCAAUACUUUUUCCCCGAUUCCUCACCGUAGCCAACUAUGACGACACUGUGUGUGACAUCGGGCGAACAAUCUUCAUCAAAAAUACCACCUUUGUAAUGUUGCCAAGUUCUGGCGUUAACUGCGACCGACACUGGUUGGUCAUUCACUGCUUUCAUAAGCUUAGCUUCGUUGUUUCUUGUAACCAACCUGCAGCCGGUAAUGUAAGCUGCAUGAUCGGAUUCCUUGGUUUUGUCGCACACCCCUUUAAACGCCUUGUAAGGGUAGUUAGCCUCCGUCGUUAAGCCUUUAUUUGCGACAAUAUAACGGAAAGCUUUUAAUCGGCUACCGCCUGAGCAGUCACCGCCGUCAGAACAAUCGAGAACUUGCUGUACAGAUAGAGAUUUUAGUUCGCCUUUCUUGAUCUUGUAGAUGCUCUCAACUGUUGCUACCACAGCGAAUGCCCAGCAGCUGGCUGGUUUUGUAUUAAGUGACAUGCACAUUCAUUAGAAUAUAUUAUAGAUGUAAGCAAGAUUUUAAGUGCCCAUCGGCACGGGCCCCAUCCACCGUGCCAACAAGAUACCGGCACGAUACAGAUUCCGUGCUGAUGGCAUCGGUCAAAAUCCUUUAUUUUUUAAAUUAGUAAAUAAUUUUCUCAACAAACUUCAAAAGAUGUGAUAAAAAGACAUAAUAAAUAGUUAGAAUAUUUUGUUGCUAAAGAAAAUAGAUAUUUCAUGCUAUUAUGUAUCGGCACAUACAAAUUUUUUUGACCGGCACGCAUCGGCACGCACUGUGCCGGUAAGUUUUCGGUAUGACUCCUUUUCGGUAUGACCCCGUGCCACGGCACUUAAAUCUUUGAAUGUAAGAGAAAGUUAGCAUGCUUAAUUAGUUAAUAUUGGUCAAUUCAGUAUGUUUUUACCAAAAGAUUUUAUUAUAUACAGGUGAAAAUUCUUACCGCAGUCUCCUUGGUCCUUGACUUCAGUUACAGCACCUUCGGUCCUCCAAUCAACAGUGGCUCUCAAGGGCGUGUUUUUGGUAUGACUCCGUGUCACGGCACUUAAAUCUUUGAAUGUAACAGAAAAUUAGCAUGCUUAAUAAGUUAAUAUUGGUCAAUUCAGUAUGUUUUUACCAAAAGAUUUUAUUAUACUACAGGUGAAAAUUCUUAAGUUACACCACCUUGGGUCCUCCUAUCAACGGUGGCUCUCAAGGGCGUGUUUUCGUACUCGGCUUCCACUAGAGCGGUCUCUAUAUCUGUUGGGAUGUCCUGCUCUGCAAUUCCUACAGCAUACGUAUUUGCAUACUCCUCGUUUGUCAUAUCGCUAAACCGGUUAACUCCGNAGGUAGCAUGCUACCCGCUUCAUUCAUUCGGGAGGUGAAUUAAGCUACAUGGGUGAGGCAACAAGGCCUCUAGGCAAACGGAGACAAAAAGGAAAAGGAAAAGUAAAAGGAAACGACAGGGAAACAGGUGUUGUGAGUAAAGUACAGCCGAUGCCUCUAUACGGUCUACGAGUUCUAACUACAGAUCUACCGAUCUACAGAUCAGUACUACUCCACUGAGCUAACAGGCGUUUGAUCUUAUGAGUACCACGAAUCGGAUCCGCCUGGGCCUUCGCAAAAAUGACACCAUUCCUAGUCUCCCAAAUCACCCACCAACAAGCUAUGAUACCGGUUAGGUCGUUAUCCGAGCCCCUCCGCCCUUUCCAUAAAUCCCACAUCCGGUGUACGUCAGCUCCCAAAUCUUGUGGAUACACUUCCUCCAGUGACAUAACCAAGAGGAAUCUGAAGAACGCGCAUUGUGUAAAGAGAUGAUCAAACGUUUCUGGCUCCGAUCCGCAAAGCACACAGCUCGUAUUCCCGGUCCAUCCUCUUUUUAACAGGUUGUCAAUGGUGGGUAUCUUUUUCUUGAGCACGAGCCAACAGAAGACCUUCACUUUAAGGGGGAUACGGAGUCUCCAGAUGUCNNNNNNNNNNNNNNNNNNNNNNNNNAUAUAUAUUGUUGAGCUAGAAUUAUCAGUAGCAAACGGGUUCCGUCGCCAUUUAUUUAUUUUCGAUGAUAAAGCCUUCAAAUCGACAAUCGGUACAGUUAAGAAUGAUCUAUACCAUUUGAAGUAUCUAGAAAUUAAAUUUCAUACUUUUCUGAUAUUGUUCUCUUGUUUAUCAAGUGAAUGUAAAAAUGAACGGUUGAAAAUAAAUAUCUUCUAAAAAGUGAUGAUGGAAAUUUUAUAAUCAAGAUCGAAAGUAUAAAUCUUGUUUUAAAUACUUUAAAGAAUUUUUUAACAAAUAUUCAAUUGAUUUGGAUAGCUCUACACUGUUAAAGGAGAAAACGCCUCAUAUCUACUAUUAAAAUUAUAAAAUUUGAAACCCUUUGAUCAUUAGGUCAACAAUGUCGAAAAGAUUUGAAAUUUAGCUUUUAGAUACUUCGAGUGGUAUAAAUUAUGUUCAACGAUACCGAUCGCCGAUUUGAAAAUUCUAUCAUCGAAAACAAAUAGAUGGCAACAGAGCCGUUUGCUAUUGAUAACAUUCCAACUCAUCUCUCUUUCUAACUCUCUCUCUCUCUCUCUCUCUCUGUAUAUAUAUAAAUAUAAUUAUGCUACUAUACUAUUGAUAUUAUCAAGGGCAUUUGGUACUAUCAAGUUUUCCACCGUUGAAUGAAAAAAUGUGCGGUUAGAAUGAUAGUGGUCUUCUAAAAUUGAGUGGGUGGUGAGUUGAAUAGUAUAAUCUAACAGGUGAAAAUAAUCAAAAAAUAGAUUUAACGGUAGCAAACUCGAUAGUAUCAGGAAUAUUUUUCUAUAAUCAGUUAAUCAUUUUUUUUUAUUUGAGAAAAAAGUAAAAUAAAAAUAUUUUCUAAUAACUAUGAUGGGACAUGUGAAUCUAAACAGGGAACAAUCUUAUUGAUUGGAGAUGUCACAUUAGUAAUAUAACUGAUGUAUUUUAAAUUUUUCUCUCUGAGACACGGAGUCAAUGGUCGAUUAUCACAUGCUAAAUUAUGUAAUUAAGGACCAAUGUGAUUUCACACUGGCACAAUGUGAUUUCACAUGCUUUUGUUUCCGCUGCAGCAUUUGUUAAUUGCAGUUAUCAACACCACGUCAUGCCAUUGUUGUCUCGUCUGCAACAAGCGUAUAAAAAAUUUCGUAAAAACAUAUAAAAUUUAUUAAAUUAUGUAUUAUUUUGAAUUGAUUAUCUAAUUUUUUUUAAUUUUGAUUUUAUUAUUGUUUACCAAAGACUAGCUUUGAUCUUUACUUACUGCAUGAGCAAUUCGGAUUGGAUUCUCUGCAACUUUAUAAACUUAUUGACUCGAUUGAUUGUUGCGUCCAGAAAUUAAGACUGUGAUUUCGGCCAAUAAUCUAAAAGGAUAAUUAUCUAUAUAACCCUCAUACGUUUGAAAAUAUAAGAUUUAUUUCUACUUUUUUUUUUUUUCUUUCUAAAAUACUUCCGCAGUUAUCUCCUAUUAAGUUAACUUGGGUUAAAUAUGAGUUAAAUAUUUAUCACAGUUAAAAAAAAUUAAAAUAUCAAUUUUGCUCUUAAUUUAAGGAUAAAUAAAAAAUGUUGGUGACAGUAGAGGGGUAUAUUUGAAAAGAUCAAAAGUCAAAAUACUUUUUUGGCUCUUGACUUUAAAAGCAAAUAAGAAAAAUCGGUGAUGGCGGAAGCGUAUAUUUGAAAGGGCAAAAUAAUAAUUUGAUACAGAUAAAAGAGAUCAUUAACGAUUUUAACUCUAGAGGUAUAUUUGAAAUAGGUUAGAACGUAAAAAGGGUAAAUCAAAAAGUCGAAAUCUUUUCAGGAAUAUAUAAGCAAUUAUCCCUAAUCUAAACUAUUGUUGGAAUUGGAAUGAAAACUUACCAAAGAAAAAAAACUAGAUUUACCUAAUUGUUUAACUCGCUCUCAACCUAAAACUAACGAAAAUAAUAAAAUGCGCUAAAAACUAUCUAGCUGCUAUUUUCCUAAAUAUCUCGAGCUGUUCAAAUUCGAAUUCUAUCAAAUCUCAGCCAAGUUCUGAAAUUAUUAUUUCAAAUCUAAAUUUAUUAUUUAAUUUAAUAAAAUUGCAAGAAUUGUAAGAAGUAUACUAACCAAAACUGUUAAGAUAAACGAUAUAUUCAUAUUUAGAUAAGUCAUCGUUUUCUUCGCUUUUGGAUGCUUCUUCUAUGAUAGCAAUAUUUGAUAAUAUAAAUAAUCAGAUAUAACUAUCGCGAGUUGAAAGGAACAUCGUGGAUCACGCGUAAAAGAGAUAUCUAUAUUUAUACUAGUUUAAUAAUUGUGAUGAGUUGGCUGAGCCCCUUAAGGUGUCAACGGCAGGCUGGCCCGCGCCGCCCGGCCCGGCACGCAGAGUGGCCGCUAGCACGGCACGCGCACUGUAGCAAUGCCAGUGCCGGCCCGGCCCGACAAGUUAAAUCGGUCCCGUGCUGGGCUUCGCUUCCCGCGCCUCGAUGGCCCGGCACGGCCCGCACGAACAUCAGGUCUAGGCCGUGCCGCCUAGAGAGUUACCUAGCCCGGCCCCGCACGGGCCCGUUGCUAAAGGCAGCUCCCGAGCCGGGCCAGGCUCUUGCACACCCAUUGGCAACCCCAACCUUUGGGACGUUGGGCAACCCAAACCUUGGGAGUUGGGUUUCUCCGAGGCCCUGCAGCACCAACUUCCCAACAUGCUUUGCGAAGUUUGGACUGUAGCUUGGUAGCGGCUUGACUAAAAGCCCCUCCAACAUCCAAAAUUGACUGUUGGGAGGUAAUUUUUUUUGUCUAAAAAGUUUAAUAAAUUUUAAAUAAUUUAUUUAAAAAUUUGUAAAUAAGUUUUAAUUAUUUUUAUAAAUAUAUUUAAUUUUUUUACUUAUAUAUUAUUUUUUAGAAAAUAUUAAUAUUAAUUAUUUUUUAUUUCAAAAAGAUUUAAAUAUUUUGUUAAAUAAAAUUAAAUAAAAUAAAAAAAGGGCCUGCCCCGAUAGCCCGGCCAGGCCCGUGCAGUCCCGGGCCGGCCCCUGCUGCCGGGUCCAUAACAAUCUUGGCUCCGCACGGCACUGGCCGCCGAUUUUGGGCCUGGGCCUGUGCCCGGCUGCCGCCCGGCUCCGUUUCGGCGCCGUAAAAUGUGGGCCGUGCCGGCCCGGCACGGCCCACAUUACAUCCCUAGGUGAGCCUGCUCUACUCUAUAUUUGAGAGCGUUUAAUUUUGUACAUUCCAAAGCUUUUUUGAAGUACUUAUAAAUUAAAUUUUUUAAUUUUUCGGAAUCAUCAUAAUAUAAAAUCCAUCAAGCAAUGAUAGAAGAAAGAAUUAAAAUUCUUGAUAAAUGAGGCCCUAAAUUUUAAGAGUACGAGUAGGGAUGUUAAUUGGUAUGGAUAUCCGAAUUUUUAUUCGAAUCUGAACCCGAAAGAAACAGAUAUAUCCGAUGCUAAAUGGAUAUGGAUUCGGACACGGAUAUCAAAAAUAGAAACCCGACGGAUGUGAAUUCGGAUAUAAAUUUUGACUGUAUCUGUCACGCCCCGGAUUACACGUUCCUCGGGCGCGCCGACAAAUCCGCCGUAUAUAAAGGAAUUUUUCCUGUAUACGAAGCGAUAGCUGUACCUGUAAAUCAAACAAUACUACAAACAGUAGUAUAGAGCUGCUAGGAGAAACAGAAUAAAACCAAACUGAGUUCCAUAUACAUACCCCAAAAUCCAAGAUACAAAAACUACUCGCACUAGCGAGUUAAAGAUAGGUAAGUACAUGAACUCCAACAAAGCUACUACCUGCAGCAGGGCACCUCUAGCUCGGCUCGUCGGGUAGGGCUCUAACUCGCGACGCCCUUGCCUCGAUCCUGAUCAGCAAUAGCAGCAGCCGAAGACGAUGGCUCUGCAAAAGAUGAAGUAACAACAGGGCAUGAGAACUACUGUAAAAACAAGUAGUCCUCAGUGGGUACCGCCCAAAACAACAUCGGUCCACCCACUAAGUCUACAGAAGGGAGCAAGAAUAGUAGUAAAAUGCAGGAAUAAAGUCUACCGCUAUCAAACACUACACUAUCAUGCUCUACACUAACCAACUGUAGGAAAAGUCAAAUCUGACCCAAUCCAAUCGGGACUGUAAGCAUACCCGUCCCCGGGACUGUGAAUACACCCGUCCCUGCCCCGUUGCGACUAUCAGGCUCUAUCCACACUAACUGGUCCGUGGAGAGCAAGUCCAACUGGCAUGAGCGACACCAACGCGAAAGCACAAAGCCUGACUCCGGAGUGGCACUCGUCGGCGCUACCCAACCGAGUAUGCAACGUAUCUCUGUCGAGCUCAAUCAGGCUCCAACUAGCCAAAGUCAAAUAAACAGGGUCAAAACAAGUCUACACAUCAAACCCACGUGCCCUUGGCACAAUCUGUGACUAAAACAAGAAUCUGGGUCCACCGCUAACCCGAACGGCACCCAACGACCCGAAACAGCCUACACUUUGCUGAAAAAUAAGCUCGGCACCCCAGCACGAGCGUAAAUGCCUUCUAAACUACCCCAGAUAUCCAUCGCACUAAUACUGCAACGAUACAAUCGAAUUUCGGCUCCUAGAGCUAAAUCUGGUAGUUUAAGCAUAUGACGGGUCAAAACGCGGGUUUUCUCCUAAGUCAUAUUUCAAGUCCAACAUGUAUAAUAUAAACAUUCAUUUCAGCAUGCUUUCACAUUCAUACUACAUUCAAGAUGCUAGUCGAUGAAUUAAAGCAUUAUAUAUACAUGAAUCAAACUAUACACGUCGACUAAAUAUGCACUUAGGAGCGAAACCGAUGAUACACCCACCUCGAGAGCAAAAUCCUGGCAGCAAGAAGGUCACUCAGCUGCGGAACACCCUGCUACAGCCAGCAAAGAUCCAAAAUCCGGAUCUAGACAUUAAAAUCACCAAAAACCACUAACAAAAUCCUAUUUCAGCACUUAAGCUUGGAUUUAUCCAACUUCAAUAUCAAAACUCACCUAAUGAGCUCCAAUUCGGGUGAGGAUAGAUCCAAAUCCAGCAACUACAGAUGGGUGAUCAAUCUCAGGUCCAAAAUCCCACUGUCUACAAAGAUAGCAUCAAGAAAAGCUCAAAAAUUCCAUUUUCAGCUCAAAGUCAACAGCAGUCCAGAAAAACCUCAGUUCGACCAAGCUAACCUCCACCAAAAUCUACAAUUCAGGGCUCCGUGGAUUUCUCUGGAAGUCUAGAAUCCAGCAAACCAAGUUUCGUCGAAAUCCGACCUUCCUACGUCGCGCACGAGCCAGAACACUGGAGGUCGUCGCUGAAGAACUGCAGAAUCAGCACUCCAUCAAGCUGGAUCAUGAAAAUUUGAUUGCAAAUUGAGGUAAAUUACGACGUGUUUGAGACUGCUAAAGCGGACUUCUCUGUGAGAAAGGAGGAAAAGAGCUCAAGCGUCACCUCUCCAUCUUAUAUAGCUGCUGGAAUAUAAAAUAAUCCCUAAGAGAAACAGCUGCAAUCCAGUGCCCCUGCAGAAACGGCGUUUCUGUGGCUCCCGGAACCAUGUUCUGGGCGACCAGAACAAUCCAGUCCUGCCACAAAACGGGCUCCUCGACUCUCCGCUCGCGGUAUCAGCCUGCGCCCAUAAAUGGCUCCGGCGGAACUCACCUACCGCCCUGCCACGCGUCGAAGCACGCGGAUAUUCACAGAUGUUGAAUUUCCGGACCCACUUCUUGGCGCCCGAACUUGGGAUCCGAAUUGGCUCCAGUUUCAGUUAAAUUCAACACUCGUUUCUGGGCGACCCUAAAAAUGUUCUGGCGCCCAAAUCUGGCCAAAACUCCGUUUUGCUGUAUUGACGAUGCGCCGAGUCCAAUUCUGCACUCCAAUCUCCGUGCAGAAUUGACUCCGACUCAGUCCGACACUCUCCAGAGAUGUCGGACCAUCGUAUUAAUAGGAAGCCAGAUCCUAUCCAAAAUUCAAGGAACACUACAGUACCCACAUUGUCACGGCGACCGGAUUAAACACGUUCCCCGGGCAUGCGACAAAUUCUGCGUACUAAAGAAAUUUUUUCCUGUAUAACGAACGACAGCUGUACCUGUAAAACCCGUACAAUACUUACAAACAGUAGUAUAGAGCUGCCUUAGAGUAAACAAUAAGCCUAAACAACGGAGAUUCCAUAAAUACUAGUCCAAUACCAAAAUACAGAGUCUACUCGCACUGGCGAGUAAGUAUACUAUGUACGAUUGAAGCUCAAAACAAACAAAUCUACUGCAGUAAGGGCACCUCUAACUCGCAUGUCUGGUAGGGCUCUAACUCGCGACGCCCUUGCCUCCGAUCCUGAUCUGGCGACAGCAGGCAGCCGACGACGAUGGCCUCUACAAAAACAGGGGUAACAACAGGGCGUGAGACAUACUGAUAAAAACAGGUAGUUCCUCAGUGGGUGCCGCCCUCAACAACAUCGGUCCACCCACUAAGUCUACAGAAGGGAGUAAAGAUAGUAGUAAAUGCAGGAAUAAAAUCUACCGCUAUAAAUCACUACACUAUCAUGCUCUACACUAACCAACUGUAGAAAAUGUCAAAUCUGACCCAAUCCAAUCGGGACUGUAGGCCUACCCGUCCCUGGGACUGUGAACACACCCGUUCCUGCACAGUUGUGACUAUCCAGCUACCUCCACACUACUAGUCCGUGGAGAGCAAGUCCAACCAGCAUGAGCGACACCAACGCGAAAGCACAGCGCCCGUCUCCGGAGUGGCACUCGUGGGAGCUACCCAACCGAGUAUGCAGCGUAUCUCUGUCGAGCUCAAUCAGGCUCUCAAAAGUCAAAGUCCAGUGACCGACUCAAACUAGUCUAACAAGCAACAGGUAACGUGCCCUCGACACAAUCCAACGCCAAAAAGGCGAUACGGGUCCACCGUCAACUCCGACGGCACCCAAUAGUUCGGAACAGCCUAAACGCUAUUUUAAAAAUUCACUCGGCAUCCCCGCACGAGUGUAACUCAAAUCUAAAGUACCUGUAAUUCUCAAUAUGAUAAUACUGCAACAGUAUAAAAUCACACAACGGCCCCUAGGGCUAAAUCAUGUAGUUUAACAUAUGCCGAUCGUUAUCGCAUUUUCUCCUAAGUUGAAUCCAAGUCCAACAUGCAUAUUUAUGGUUACAAGUCAUGUUCUCAAUGCUGAUUAUUUUUAGCCGUGAUACGAUCAACAACCUGAGCUACAACAUGAUUUACCAGAAACCCGAAAAUCAUACAUGUCGACUAAUAUAUACUUAGGAAUAAACCGAUGUAACCCACCUCGAUCGCUAAACCCCGGCAACAAGGAGGUCACCAAAAAUUCCCAAAUCCACUUGAAAAACCAGGGUGUCCAGCUCAAGUUCGAAAUCGCCCCGCACACAUCGCAACGAAGAACUCCAACUCAAAUUCUGUCCGAAACACAGCAGCAGAGAAAAACAUAAUUUCGACCCAGCUAACCUUCAACAAAUCCAGCAAAUAAGAGUUUUGUGGAUUCCUCUCGAAAUCCUGAAUCCAAAGAACCAAGUCCCGUCGAAAUCCGACGUUCCUACGCCGAGUACGAGCCGAAACACUGACGGUCGACGCUGAAAAUCAGUAAAAUCAGCACGCGAGCUCAAAACUGUGCGUUCAAGUAAUCCAAGGAGGAAAGUUAGGUACCCACCUCGACAGCGAAUCUAGCGCCGGUGCGACGUCGAGGACGGCGAAAACACCCCCUUGCCCAGCCUCCUCGCGAUGUAACGGCCGCAACCGUAUGCUCGAAUGGCUUCGCGGCGCGACGUCGACGUGGAAAUCGAGCUCCGCGGCACGACCCGAGCUCCUCCUUGCUUCGGCCGACUGGAGAGAGAGACUUAAUUACAGAAGUGCAUGCACACCCUCUAAAUAAAUAAGCAUGCAAUGCAUGCAAGGGGUGCGUGGCAUCCAUAUAUAUAUAUAUGUAGAGUCCGGCUACUACACUAUCGAUAGUACCAAGUCCUUGGUACUAUUGAGUUUUCUAUUGUUAGAUCUACCCUUUGAUCAUUUCCACCCGUUAGAUUAUAAUAUUAAACCAACCACCCACUCAACCCUAGGGGACCACUAUCAUCCUAACCGCACAUCUUUUCAUUCAACGGCCGAAAACUCAAUAGUACCAAGAACUUGGUACUAUUGAUAGUAUAGUAGCAUAAUUCUAUAUAUAUAUAUAUAGUAUAAAUAUAUAUAUGUAUAUAUUAUAUAUAUAAUAUAUAUAAAGGAUACUACACCACUCGAACCGACACCGAACCCAAAUUUAUCUUGAUUAUAUAUAUAUAUAUAUAUAUAUAAUAUAUAUAUAUAAUAUAUAUAAUAUAUAUAAUUGUUAGGUUAGGAUGAUAUUAGUCAGAUAGAGUUGAGUGGCCCCUAGGAUUGAGUGGUCCCCACUGAAGUUGUAGUAUUUAAUACAAUGAUUAGAAAUGAUGAAAAUAGUCGAUUCAAAGGCUAAAAACUUGAUAGCAAAAAGAACGUUUUGCUAUCAAUAGUAUCCCAGCCUAACUCUCUCUCUCUCUCUCUCUCUCUCUCUCUCUAUAUAUAUAUAUAUAUAUGAUGUUAUGUUUGAAUUUGUAUUUAAAAAUUUAGAUUUAAUAUAAUAUAUUUUCAAAUAUUGAAAAAAGAAAUAAUUGUUUCGGGUUCAAAUUUUCGGGUUCGGGUUCAGAUUUAGAUUUCGGAUUUUUGGUCCGGUUCGGAUUUGGAUAUGAAUUUUUAAAAUCCGUCCUGUUCGGGUUCUGGUUCGGAUUCGGAUUUCGGGUUUGGAGUCGGGUUCGGGUUCUUAAAAAUCCGCCCCGAAUCCGAUCUGUUGGCGUCUCUAGGUAGGAGGGGAACUUAGCAUGCAUGAAUUAAUCAACACUCAAUUUUUUGCUGCUUCAUUCAAUCACGAGAAAUUAAGUAUUUAUCCUACUCUCAUGCUUUCCACUGAAAAAAAGCGUGUAUUAUAUAUUGAAUAUAAAUAUUAAAAAUAUUAUUUUUUUUUACUAUAUAUCUUAAUUUUUUGACCCUGGUGGCGGAUGGUGGCUGGCCCAAAUAUAUAAUUACAGAAUAUUAUUCAAUAUCUGACUUAAUGAAAAAUUAUAUAGAUCGAGACCUCCUCAACUAUAUAUAAUUAAUCCAUCUUAAUUAAUAUAAAUCCUUUUACGUACCUUUGCCUUUUUUUUUUACAGGCAAUUUUUUUUACUUUUAAUUUGUUUUAGUUUGAGUUAUUCUAAUUAGUUUUGUCAAAAGUUUCUUAGAUUUUUAUUAGUAGUUGAUUGUUGUUGCUUUAUUUAUUAAAAUGAUUAUAAUUUUUAAAUUUGAUAAGAAGAAAGAUAAUUAAAAUUUGCUAAAAUUUUAAACUUAUUUGUAGCUUGUCAUUCUCUAUCUCUCUCUCUUUUUUAAUAUUGAAACAAAAAAAAAAAAAGGAAUUGAUUAAACCCUAGGGGACCCUAGGAUAAAAAGUGUUUCAAUACAAAUUUACCUAGAUGCUUAAGCUCAAACCAUCAGCCCAAUACUCACUAAUCACUAUCCAACAAACUAGCAACAAUAAAUUGUUAAAUCCAAAUAAAACCAUUGGUAAAAAAAUACUUAAACUCAAUUAUUAUAACUAUAUAGUUCCUGAUCCUUAUAUUUUCAAUUAUAAUAUUUCUAUUCGAUAUGGGACUAUUUUACAUAGCUUAUAUAUAUGAUUAAAAAAGAAGAGUGUUCCAUUAAAUUUCCAUUUGCAAAAUAUACACGGCGCAAUAUUAAUGGUUUAGCGAUCAAUUUAUUAAUCAAACUUCACAUAUUUAUUGGACCAUAUUGAUACAACAAAUUGGUUUAGGUAGAGAAUUAAUGAAGGAGACAAAUGAAUUAUCUGCUAAAUUUAUUGCGUAAAAUAAGGGGAAGGAAAAAAAGAAAAAAAGAAUAAGCCAUACAUAUAUACAUGCAUGAAUCUCACGUACGUCCAAUAGUGAUAUAUAUAUAUAAUAAUGCUAAUGAACGAAGUAGGUGACGACGAGAGCUAGCACACUAAAAAAUAAUAAUAAUAAUAAUAAUAUAAGGACGGUUUUUAGACGACGCUUAGGGNAUAAUAAUGGUAAUGAACGAAGUAGGUGACCACGAGAGCUAGCACACUAAAAAUAAUAAUAAUAAUAAUAAAAGGACGUUUUUUAGACCACGCUUAGGAUAAGCGUCUCAAUGUAUUUUUACAAUAUAUAAAAAAUACCAACGCUUCAGAAAACGUCGUCAUAUAAUAUCAAAUAAUUUAUUAAAUGAUGAUAAGUUUUACUAUUAUUUUUAAUUUUUCUACAGGUUAAAGCGUUAGAAUUUUAAAAAUCAUAACACUUUAAAGUAUCAGAAUAUAUUUUAUCGACGCUUAGUAUAAGCGUCGAUAUAUGCGUGGCGACCUAACAUUUGCCGCCGCUGUCAAAAGUGACAUUGGAAUAUAUUGAGAUGCUUUUAAGCAUCGUAAAAUAUAAAAAAGAGUAUCCUUAAAUGUAACAUUUUUUAUAGUGGCAACAAACAUGAGAACAUAUAAGCAAUCCCUUGAUCGAUCGCAUUGCCGUCGAUCCGAUGUUUUUGUACCACCGCUGCCGCCGCAGCCUCCUCGUGGCCGUGCGCGAGCUGCGUGAACCCCGGCGUGAACGCAAUCGCGAUGAUGAACAGCGCGUAUGCUCUCAUCGAACUCAUAUUCCUAUAUAUAUCUCUCAAGAAUUACUAAGGCUUAUAAUUUGCGUAGCUAGCUCGGUGUGUGUAGUAGUAGUAGUUGUUGUUGUUGUGGUGCAUGUAGAGGAGUUGGUACAUACGUAGAAGUGUAUUUAUAGUUUUUUUUUUUUUUUUUUUUUUUUUUUUUUUUGGUGGGGGGAGGAAGGUGCUUUGGAAUUAUGGAGUGAGGGGUACGAAUUAGGGAGCCGGCCGUUAACCCGAAGAACGCGGAUGGCGGGAAAAAUUAGGGUUUCAGGUAAUGGUCAAAUGAGGGGUCAAAUUAAAGGGAGAGGAAAAUAAACGGAAGAUUCCUUACCGUUGGAUCUCAAUGUUUAAAAAGUGGGGUGUUUAUGAGCGUGCAUUAAUCCUCUCUACUGUUUACCACCCAAGCUGUUGGAUUCCAUAAACUCCUGCUAUUGCACAAUAUUUUUUAGACCUAAUUCACUACAACAGAAUAAGAUUAUAACGAUAUAUUUUUAGAACACUUUUAUGUAAGUGUUCCAUUUAUGUUAAAUUUUUAAAAAAAUAAUACUAAGGCCUAAAUAUAAAAUCCGAUCCAAUCAUAAACAAAAAGCUACUCUACUCAACCAACCACACCUAACCCACUCGGCCUGAUUACAAAUAAAAAAGAAAAAAAAAUUCUGACCAUCUCUACUUCUCCUCCUCCGUCGUCACAGCUGACCAGGCAGGGUUCCAAUGGCUGAAGUUCGGCCACGAGGAUUUUGUAGGAACUUUAGAGAGCUACGAUUGUCACGUAUCCCUCCGCCAUAGGUUGCUGGAGGAGUGGGUGCCAAAUAUCAAGACGACUUUAUCUAUAGCGACCUCACAUAUAAUAAGAUUUUUAAAGUGUUAGUAAUUUAGUCAGCCAUACUUUUUUUUAACUUAUACCGAUAUUUAAAAGUCUCGCUAUACACCCUUUUGUUGUAGUGAUUAUAAGAAUCUUGCAGUUUUUCUCGUGGCUCAAAUAUUUCUCACAUAAAAAAAAAUUUAGAUAGUGUCAAUUCUAUAUUUUAGUUUUGUCUCAAAUAGAUAUUCAGUUCGAAUUUCUCAUUUGUUGAGAUAGUAUAUAUAUCUUUAAACUUACUUACGGUCCUUUAAGUAUGUUGUUAAUUGCCAAAUCUGUGAAGAGCUAGCCACACACACACACACACACACACACACACACACACACACACACACACACAUAUUUAUAUAUAUAUAUCAAGAAAUUAAUCAAGCUUAUUUUCCAAAUCCGAGAAGAGCCACAAAAAAAAAAAAAAAAAAAAAUGUGAAGGGUUCUGCUCAUCACGUCCGAGAAUUCAAGUGUUUUAAAUGCCAAAUCAUCUUGUUAUGUCAUUGCUAUUAACACUUCUAUCAAAGUUAACAAAAUCUCUAAAUUAUUGAGUCUUUUCUUUUUUCUGAUAGAGAAAAUAUUCUGUCCAACAUCAUUUUAUUAUGAUAUAUAUUUGAAAAUAGCAAACACUGGCCUCUUUCAUAUCUUAGGAAAAUACUACGUAUUUAUUAACCUACAUAUAGAUCAAAAUCUUACACCUUACGAAUCCAUCCUAGCUAAGAUUCACAAAACUAACUCUUUUUAGUUUUAGUAUAUGUAAAAAGAUAGUUAAUAAGAUUAGUGGAGGAGGACCGACUAAUGCUACAUGUACAGUCAAAUCCUUGUAUAGCUUUCUUGCGUAUAGAGAUAGAAUUCUUGGUCAGGCUAUCUCCAUGGUGUGGUUGGCUCGAAAAGCGGUGCGAAUGAUCUUGAAACUUGUGAUCACCUUUUGUUUAAGUAUAUAUAUAUAUAUACUUUCUCCACAAUCGUUGACGUCAACUCAGUCUUCCAUAUCUUCGAAUGUAAUUCUGCCCUAUCCGGCCUUAUGCUAUUUAAUUUGAAGUUGAUGAAAAAUUAAAUUCUCUGACUUAUGGCUCUAAUCUGUACCAAUAAUGAGAUCGUUGACGGCUUAGCGCUAAUUAUUAAUUCCAAUAACUCAACCUAUUAGAAGUAUAAGACCAAUUUACUUUAUAAGACGCACAGACACAUCACCUACGAGUCUCAAUUGUGGCUUGGCCCAAUUUGACCUCUCGCCACUAAGAAACAUAUCUCGGGCUAAUCUGGUCUCCCAUCAUUUCUAACGUGACUCAGUCUAAUCUCACCUUUCGUUGCUACGCAAGAUGCUGGUCCCUUUAGGCGAACACUUUUGACAUAUGAUCGCUUGCUCCGAUGAACCAACCCUUAAGACUCAUCUCUCAUAAAGAACGUUACAGGAAUAUCGGGGUAGAUGCUCAAACUUAGAGAUAACAACGAGAUCAUAAGAGGCCUUAUCCUACUCUCAUUUACGUGGUGAGUGAUUUGGAACGAGAGGGACAACGUGAUACUAGUUUAUUAUAUAUUUUUUUCUAAAAAAAUAAAAACAAGUUGCAUUGGUUGGGGGGCAAAGUGAAGAAGAUGAAUGAAUCAACCACCCAAUACAUUGCCCAAAAUAGAGUAAUUAAAAACAAAUUAAGCAGCAUAUUGAAUUAAAGCUGUUUGCAUGCAGCAUAACAAACAUGUUUAUUAAUCGAACUUUACAUCAACUGUCUACAUAUUUAUUGAAUCAAUGAUACAACAAAUUCGUUUGCAUAGAGAAUGAAGGAGACGAAUGUUUAUUCCCUGAAAUAGGGGAAAAAAUUAAGGAACAAACAAUACACAAGCUACACAUGCAUGUAUGAAUCUCACGUCCAAGUAGUGAUAUUAACGAUACUAAUGAACGAAGUAGGUGAUGAGGAGAGCAACAAGCAUGAGAACAUAAGCAAUCCCUUGAUCGAUCGCAUUGCCAUCGAUCCGAUGUACUGGUACUGCCGUCGCCUCUGAAUGGCCAUGCGCGAGCCGUGUCGAUCCCGAUAUGAACGCAACGGUGAUGAUGAACAGCGCGUACGCUCUCAUCAGACUCAUAUUCCUCUCUCAAAAAU